AACUAACGCUGGCGGCGUGCCUAACACAUGCAAGUCGUACGAGAAAGUCGGCUUCGGCUGAUGAGUAAAGUGGCGCACGGGUGAGUAACGCGUGGAUAAUCUGCCCUUGAGUGUGGAAUAACGUACCGAAAGGUGCGCUAAUACCGCAUAAUGCCUGGCAACACAAGUUGUCCGGCCAAAGAAGGCCUCUGUUUACAAGCUUUUGCUCAAGGAUGAGUCCGCGUACCAUUAGCUAGUUGGUGGGGUAACGGCCUACCAAGGCUACGAUGGUUAGCUGGUCUGAGAGGAUGAUCAGCCACACUGGAACUGAGACACGGCCCAGACUCCUACGGGAGGCAGCAGUGAGGAAUUUUCCGCAAUGGGCGCAAGCCUGACGGAGCGACGCCGCGUGAGGGAUGACAGCUUUCGGGUUGUAAACCUCUUUUAUUAAGGAAAAGACUAAAUUGCUUAAUAUCAUGUAGAUUUGAUGGUACUUAUUGAAUAAGCCCCGG
rnacentral:rRNA from 1 species